rnacentral:rRNA from 1 species
UACGUAGGCAGCGAGCGUUGUUCGGAAUUACUGGGCGUAAAGAGUGUGUAGGCGGUGUUCCCAGUCUGUUGUGAAAUCUCCCGGCUUAACUGGGAGGGUGCAGCGGAAACUAGAAUGCUAGAGGGUGGGAGAGGUAAGCGGAAUUCCUGGUGUAGCGGUGAAAUGCGUAGAUAUCAGGAGGAACACCUGUGGUGUAGACAGCUUACUGGACCACUUCUGACGCUGAGACGCGAAAGCGUGGGUAGCAAACAGG